CUCAGCAGCGCUACUUCAGGAUCCCCUUCUAUGCUUUUGCCCCACCAUCAUUUCCUUUCGUUCCUCAGGCCAGAGCAAAGGUAACAAAGCAGCAGCAGGAACGGAUUUGGUGUUCCAGGUCAGAUAACCCCUAAAUUAGAAGCAGGUUCAGAAGGGAGGCACAAGAAGAUUAAAAGGAACACCCAAGGUCCCUUGUGCACUGGACUGAACUGAGGAUAUGGCACAAAACCAUAAGCAUUUUGAUCGGCUCCAGCAUGGCAUUUCAAGGAAGCAGGAGAGGUGAUUAAAUUGCGCAGUCAGAAAGCAUGACUACAAUGCCAAGAAGCCAGCAAUUUUAACACCACAAAAGGAUAAUUGAAUACUUCAGGCCAUAUUAGUUUCAGCACAGACUGACCCUCAGCCGGGGAUGACAGAGUGCCAACAGCUCCCAGCACGAUGACUGACAGAACUGGGACAAGGCAAAUUGCACUUUCGAAGCCUGCAGCAGAACAAGAGCUAAGGGAUAUGCUUUGCAUUAAAAACAGUCAUAUACUGCAUUCUUAGAACAAGGCAUAAAGUAGAACAGCCCGUGACUACCUCCCUUUCCAACCAUUCCAUUUGAAACAUUUUCCAUCCUCCUCUCAUUCUUCUCUUUUGCCAGUCUGAGAGAGAUACAGUCUGCACUACCAGUGUAACGCUAUUUAUAUCUUACACUCUACUGGAGAUUUGUACUAAAUUAAAAAGCUUUUGCUACCUGCGAAUAUCACAUUAAUUGAAAGAACAGCUCAGGGUGUGAGAUCUAUUUAUGGGUGAGUAAAGACUGCUCUUCCUUGCCCCAACUAAGUGCUGCAACUGAGCUUCAUUAUUGCUGUACAAGAGGUCUCUCUGCUGUAACGACUAAGGCAUAGCUGAGGCACCCAAGUGUACUAGAUUUUGACACAUCCCUCCCCCAGAAUCUUUGCUCACAUCUCCAAUAACUGGAUGUUUUGUAACAUUCCCAGCCUGUAUGUGUCUGGGGCUGCCCCAGUGUGAGAAAUUAGGACACACCAAGUAAGACCCUAAUGGGAAAAAACUACAGCUAAGCAAAGGUAAAUCAUAGAAUAGGAUCAUAGAACGGUUUGAGCAGGAAGGGACCUUAAAGAUCAUCCAACUCCCAUACCAUGGGCAGGAACACCUCUCACAAGAUCAGGCUUCUCCUGGCCUUGAACACCUCCAGGGAUGCAGCAGCCACAACUUCCCUGGGCAACCUGAAACCUGCCCCUCUCCGUUUAUACCCAUUGCCCCCUAGUCCUAUCAGGACAAGCCUUUGUGAAAAGUCCCUCUUUCAGUUUUCUUGUUAGCCCCUUCAGGUACUGGAAGGUCACUAUAGGAUCUCCUCAGAGCCUUUUCUUCUCCAGGCUGAACAACCCCAACUCUCUCAGCCUAUCUGCAUAGUAGGGGUGCUCCAGCCCUCCGAUCAUCCUUGUAGCCCUCCUCUGGACCCGUUCGAACAGCUCCAUAUCCUUCUCAUGUUGAGGAUUCCAGAAAUGGACACAAUACUCCAGAUGAAGUCUCACAAGAGAGGAAUAGAUGGGCAGAAUCACCUCCCUGGACCUGCUGGCUAUGCUUCUUUUGAUGCAGCCCAGGACACGUUUGGCCUGGGCUGUGAGCGCCCAUUGACGGCUCAUGUCGAGCUUCUCAUUGACCAUCACUCCCAAGUCCUUCUCUGCAGGACCGCUCUCAACCACAGCAUCCCUCAUCCUGUACUGAAAAUGGGGAUUGCCUCGA